GACGAACGCUGGCGGCGUGCUUAACACAUGCAAGUCGAAGAUAGUGGCGAACGGGUGAGUAAUUCGUGGGUAACCUGCCCCCCUUUUUUGGCUAAGCCUUGGAAACGGGGUCUAAUACUGGAUGGCUGGGGUGGGGGUCGCGGCUUAUCAGCUUGUUGGUGGGGUGAUGGCUUACCAAGGGUUCGACGGGUAGCCGGCGUGGGGAGGUGGUCGGUCACACUGGGACUGAGAUACGACCCAGACGCCUACGGGAGGCGACGGUGGGGGAAAUUACACAAUGGACGGAAGUCUGGUUGGGCGACGUCGUGUGGGGGAUGGAGGCCUUCGGGUUGUAAACUCCUUUCGGCCGCGGAAUGGUAGUGGGUAAAGAAGCGCCGGCUAACUACGUGCCAGCAGCCGCGGUAAUAC
rnacentral:rRNA from 1 species